rnacentral:rRNA from 1 species
UACCAGCACCCCGAGUGGUCGGGACGAUUAUUGGGCCUAAAGCAUCCGUAGCCGGUCUUGCAAGUCUUCCGUUAAAUCCAGCUGCUUAACAGAUGGGCUGCGGAAGAUACUACAAGACUAGGAGGCGGGAGAGGCAAGCGGUACUCAGUGGGUAGGGGUAAAAUCCUCUGAUCCAUUGAAGACCACCAGUGGCGAAGGCGGCUUGCCAGAACGCGCUCGACGGUGAGGGAUGAAAGCUGGGGGGAGCAAACCGG